AUUGAACGCUGGCGGCAGGCCUAACACAUGCAAGUCGGGCGAGUGGCGGACGGGUGAGUAAUGUCUGGGGAACUGCCUGAUGGAGGGGGCUAACUACUGGAAACGGUAGCUAAUACCGCAUACCAUCAGAUGAUCCCAUAUGGGAUUAGCUAGUAGGUGUGGUAACGGCUCACCUAGGCGACGAUCCCUAGCUGUUCUGAGAGGAUGACCAGCCAUACUGGAACUGAGACACGGCCCAGACUCCUACGUGAGGCCGCAGUGGGGAAUAUUGCACAAUGGGCGCAAGCCGGAUGCAGCCAUGCCGCGUGUAUGAAGAAGGCCGUCGGGUUGUAAAGUACGUUCAGACGGGAGGCGUUACCGGCAGAAGAAGCACCGGCUAACGCCGUGCCAGCAGCCGCGGUAAUAC
rnacentral:rRNA from 1 species